rnacentral:rRNA from 1 species
UACGAAGGGGGCUAGCGUUGCUCGGAAUGACUGGGCGUAAAGGGCGCGUAGGCGGAUGGCACAGUCAGAUGUGAAAUUCCCGGGCUUAACCUGGGGGCUGCAUUUGAUACGUGUUGUCUUGAGUUCGGAAGAGGGUCGUGGAAUUCCCAGUGUAGAGGUGAAAUUCGUAGAUAUUGGGAAGAACACCGGUGGCGAAGGCGGCGACCUGGUCCGGCACUGACGCUGAGGCGCGAAAGCGUGGGGAGCAAACAGG